rnacentral:rRNA from 1 species
GCAGCAGUAGGGAAUCUUCGGCAAUGGACGAAAGUCUGACCGAGCAACGCCGCGUGAGCGAAGAAGGCCUUCGGGUUGUAAAGCUCUGUCAUGAGGGAAGAACGGCUCGGGUGGCCCCGAGUAUGACGGUACCUCAGGAGGAAGCCCCGGCUAACUACGUGCCAGCAGCCGCGGUAAUACGUAGGGGGCAAGCGUUGUCCGGAAUUAUUGGGCGUAAAGCGCGCGCAGGUGGUGAUUUAAGUCUGAUGUGAAAGCCCACGGCUCAACCGUGGAGGGUCAUUGGAAACUGGAUCACUUGAGUGCAGGAGAGGAAAGUGGAAUUCCACGUGUAGCGGUGAAAUGCGUAGAGAUGUGGAGGAACACCAGUGGCGAAGGCGACUUUCUGGCCUGUAACUGACACUGAGGCGCGAAAGCGUGGGGAGCAAACAGGAUUAGAUACCCUGGUAGUCCACGCCGUAAACGAUGAGUGCUAGGUGUUAGGGGUUUCGACGCCCGUAGUGCCGCAGCUAACGCAAUAAGCACUCCGCCU